rnacentral:rRNA from 1 species
UACGUAGGUGGCAAGCGUUGUCCGGAUUUACUGGGCGUAAAGGCUGCGUAGGCGGACAUUUAAGUCAGAUGUGAAAUACCCGAGCUUAACUUGGGUGCUGCAUUUGAAACUGGGUGUCUAGAGUGCAGGAGAGGUAAGUGGAAUUCCUAGUGUAGCGGUGAAAUGCGUAGAGAUUAGGAAGAACACCAGUGGCGAAGGCGACUUACUGGACUGUAACUGACGCUGAGGCAUGAAAGCGUGGGGAGCAAACAGG